rnacentral:antisense_RNA from 1 species
CAUUUUCUAUGUUCUGUGAUUUCAGAGGUGAAACCCCAGCUGAGGAGGCAAAUAUACUCAAGGAAAGUAAUAGUUUCCAAAUGCCUGGCAGUGCCAGGAAGGGGCCAUGUCCAUGGACCACUAUGUAAGGAUAUCUCAGUCUCUAGUCCAGCGUGGUUUAUGGUGCCAAAUAAGUGCCAGGUGAACUCACUACAUCUGACAAAAUCUCAAGGAACCAAGUUUACCAGAUAAUAUUUAUGAUUAUGUGAAAAAGACUGAGGAAAUCACUCAAGUGAUCCAUCAUACAGCACCUCCAGUUCCAAAGAAUACUGACUUACUUCAGCUGUACUGGUCUGGAGCUGCACAUUCUUUUCAGACAACUCUUGUUCCAGUAAGUUCAGGCUAGAGUGCAGUGGUGCAACCUCAGCUCACUGCAACCUCCGCUUCCCAGGUUCAAGCGAUUCUCCUGCUUCAGCCUCCCUGGUUGCUGGGAUUACAGGUGACUCUUCUCCUGUAACAGAGCCUCCUUCUUAGAAACUAUGGCCUCCCGUUUCUUUAAGUCUGCUUCCAGCUCCUCUAAUUCUUGGCGUUGGUUCAGAACUUUCUCUACUUCUUCAUCUAACCAUUUCUUUUGCUCAUCCAAUUUCUACAUUAAAAUUAAAAAAAAA